rnacentral:lncRNA from 1 species
UACAACUCAUGUAUUCUAAACCGUGUUUUUUACAAAGUGUGAGUUUUUAAGGUUUAGAGUUUGUGUCUUUUGUCAGUCUUUCUUGUGUCAAUUUGAUGCAAGUUUAGGACUGUGUUUUGGUUGUUAAUUGUAAGCUACUCCUAAGCUUUGAAGCACAGAGUUAGCGUGUGUGAUUCACUCAUAAGCUUUUAAGCAAGAGUGUAGUCUAGUUUCUAGGAGAGUGUCUCCAUCCUGAUUGUUAUUAUUGACAGCAACAUAAUACGUGUUGUUAGAGGGAAUUUGGGACGGGGUCUCAUUAUCUAAGAGGUUCUUAGGUAGGAUUGCACGGGUAGUGUCUAGGUGAUAAGUCAAGUACCGGGUGUUGGUCGAGGGCUUUGAACUAGAGCUAUUAUAGUAGAUUCAUUCCUGGAUUGGUAUCCCCCAGAGUAGGUGACGUUACACUGAACUGGGUUAACAACUAUCUGUGUUAUUUAUUAUUCUGCAAUUUAUUUAUUUAUUUACUGUGUUCUGCAACUGUCUUGCUGCAACAUAUGCUAUAACAUAUGUUAUUUAUUAUGCUGCAAUUUAUUUAUUUAUUCACUACGUGCCAGAUUUCAUAAAGUCUAGUGAAACUGCAAAAUCUAGAGCACCAGCGAAAAACAAUAUAAUCUUCAUCCCUAAAAAAAAUAUUGAGAUCUUCGUUAAUACUACCUCCGUCCCAAAUUAUAAGAAAAAAAAUCCAUUUUUUUUGUCUCAAAUUAUAAGAGAAAAAAUCAUUUUUAAGAAUGUUUUUUUCCUUAUUUUCAUAAAAUUAAAUGCAAAUUGCUUUUAAUUUCCUCUCUCUCUCUCUCUCCUUCUCUCUCUCUCUCUCAUUUUCUCAAUAAACAACAACCAAUAAAAAUUGUUUUUACAUCUUCUUAUGUAACUUAUUCCAAGGAAAACCCACAAAAACAUACUACAAAUUUUCAUGUUUUACUUUUUUUUAAUAACUGUGAUUUUUUUAUUUUCUCUUAUAAAUUGGGACGAAAGGAGUAUCCUUUUGGAAUGAAUAAAGAAAAGUUAUGCACGCAUUUCAAUAAUUUUGACAUACCAACAUUUAUACAUCAAAAUUAUAGUAAUUGAAACCUAUGUUUCUUUUAAAAAAUGGAGAGAAUCUCUAUUCGGGCACUCAUAAUGAGCGGAGCUAUUGAAUUCUCACCGCUUGGCAAUAGCAACUUUUAAUGGGAAAUCCCUGGCACGAUCCAAAAAUCCAUCCAAGAGCACGACAUUUGGAAUAACAAUCGAGAUGAUCACAGUCUGAUCCCUCAAUUUGUACCACCAUCCCUGCAUUAAUUGACCGAACAAAUAUGUUAACCAACACAACUUAAUUGAACAAAUUUCAUUAUUUAUAUUUAGUAAAAAAACAUUAUUUAUAUAUUAAUUAUUUCUAUGUACUACUUCCUCCGGUCCUUUUUACAAGGAACGCUUUGGGAAAAAAUUGGUCAUUUUUAUAAGAAACUUCAAUCAAUUUUCAAAUGUUUUAAAUGUUCUAUUUCACUUAUGCCCUUAUUUUAUUAUUAGAGAAUUUUAAAAUAAGUAAGUUAGUUGAAUAAAUAGUAAUUAAAUAAUGGUAUACAUGGAAUAAUAUUAAAUUUAUAAGAGUAUUAAAUAAAAAUAAUUAUAUUAAAUAUGUUUAUUUGAUCUGUGUAAUUUUUUCAAAGUGUUUCUUAUAAAAAUGACCGAAAUGAGUACUAUGCACUUAUAAUUAUGAUUGUAUGCACCAAUUAUUGUUAUAUGUUUUAAUGCCAAACAUAUAAGACUUACUACCAGAAGCAAGGUGAAUAAGCAAAAUGAAUAUAAAAAUUGAAAGUGUGCCUUGUUCAUCAUUACCACUUGCUACAAUCUUCAUCUAGAGAUUUAUUACUUAGCUUAUGAAUAAACUAAUAACUCGCAUUAAGUUGUCUAUUUAUAUUUUAUAGAUGUGGAGAGUGUAACAAACUUUUUUUUUUGUGAAAACUUGGCGUUUAAAUUCAUUUUGGAAUUAAUGUUCCUUUGAUUAUCGCAUUAUGAACAAGAAAUUUAGUAAUAGUAUCUUAUUAAAAAAAACAAGCAAUUUGGUAGAGCUCAUAUUUGGCUAUAUGGCUAAAUGGAUUUUUUUUCUUUGUAUUUUUUAAAAUAGAUUUUCUAAAAUCGUUUCUUAAAAUAUUAUAAGUUUUUUUUAUAUUCGUUUUUUCAAAAUUGAAAUCUAACUUUGACAUCAUAUAACAUAAACACACAUUAUUGAAGAUCAAAACAUAGUCAAAAUCACAAUUUGAAAAACUAUUUGAAAUAGCUUCAAAAUUAAGUGAUUUUUUGAAAUUUUGAUAUCCGAAUUUUUUUCUAAUAAAAUGAACAAAUACCUAAAAUAACAUUUUAAGAAUAACUAUUCAAACCAAAUUUUCAUUUGAAGUUUUAUAAAAAAAUUCUUUAUAAAUUUUUUUACACAAAAUUAUUUAACACUACAAGAAUCUGUUUUAAAAAAAUUUAUAACAAAGAGCCCCAUAUUAGGAUGGAGAAAGUAAUAAAUUAACUAGCAUCGGGUAUCUAAAGAGAUAGAGGGUGUAAAAAAUCGUUUAUUUUCUUUUUUGAAAACUUGGCUCUCCUCCUCUUCCCUCUGAUUCCCUCAUAAAAAUUGAGCCAAACACAAUAAAUUAAGAAAAUUUUCCCCCUUCUCUUCCCUCAAUCUAUUCCCAACCAAACAAACCCUAAGGGAAGUGUCAUCAAUUAUAUGUUUUUUGCUUUUAUUUAAAAAAUAGUCAUAAAUAUGAUUUUCUGCACCAAUGAUUAUUAUAUGUUGUAAUGCCUUUAUGUCAAAAAAAAAAAACUAUUGUAAUAAUGCCAAAUAUAUAAGACUUACGACAAGCAAGGAGAAUAAACAAAAUGAAGAACAAUCCAAAACAUGCCUUGUUCAUAAUUACCACUUACAACAAUCUUCACCUAAAUCUAUUAUAAUAUUUUUAAUGGCAAAUCUAUUACGAUCUUAAUUAAAUAACCCGCAUCGAGUGAUGUAUUUAUAGA